UGGUAAUUCUAGAGCUAAUACAUGCUGAAAACCCCGACUUCCGGAGGGGUGUAUUUAUUAGAUAAAAAACCAACGCCCUCCGGGGCUCCUUGGCGAAUCAUAAUAACUCAACGAAUCGCAUGGCCUUGCGCCGGCGAUGGUUCAUUCAAAUUUCUGCCCUAUCAACUUUCGAUGGUAGGAUAGUGGCCUACCAUGGUUUCAACGGGUAACGGGGAAUUAGGGUUCGACUCCGGAGAGGGAGCCUGAGAAACGGCUACCACAUCCAAGGAAGGCAGCAGGCGCGCAAAUUACCCAAUCCCGACGCGGGGAGGUAGUGACAAUAAAUACUGAUACAGGGCUCUUUUGGGUCUUGUAAUUGGAAUGAGUACAAUUUAAAUCCCUUAACGAGGAACAAUUGGAGGGCAAGUCUGGUGCCAGCAGCCGCGGUAAUUCCAGCUCCAAUAGCGUAUAUUAAAGUUGUUGCAGUUAAAAAGCUCGUAGUUGAACCUUGGGCCUGGCUGGCCGGUCCGCCUCACCGCGUGCACUGGUCCGGCCGGGCCUUUCCUUCUGGGGAGCCGCAUGGCCUUCACUGGCCGUGUCGGGGAACCAGGACUUUUACUUUGAAAAAAUUAGAGUGUUCAAAGCAGGCCUUUGCUCGGAUACAUUAGCAUGGAAUAAUAGAAUAGGACGUGUGGUUCUAUUUUGUUGGUUUCUAGGACCGCCGUNA
rnacentral:rRNA from 1 species